AACGAACGCUGGCGGCAUGCCUAACACAUGCAAGUCGAACGAGACCUUCGGGUCUAGUGUCGCACGGGUGCGUAACGCGUGGGAACCUGCCCUUAGGUUCGGAAUGACUCCCCGACAGGGGUGCUAAUACCGGAUAAUGUCUUCGGACCAAAGAUUUAUCGCCUUUGGUUGGGCCCGCGUUGGAUUAGCUAGUUGGUAGGGUAAAAGCCUACCAAGGCGACGAUCCAUAGCUGGUCUGAGAGGAUGAUCAGCCACACUGGGACUGAGACACGGCCCAGACUCCUACGGGAGGCAGCAGUGGGGAAUAUUGGACGAUGGGCGAAAGCCUGAUGCAGCAAGGCCGCGUGAGUGAUGAAGGCCUUAGGGUUGUAAAGCUCUUUUACCCGGGAUGAUAAUGACAGUACCGGGAGAAUAAGCUCCGGCUAACUCCGUG
rnacentral:rRNA from 1 species